ACUGUUCCGAUCAUUAUUUUUGUUGAUUAAGGUUUGAUGUAGACUGAAUCUUGAUCAACUUGCCAGAUGUAGCCUAGGAUAAGUUGGAAAGAAAGAUGUAGAGAUGGAGAAAAAAAUUCCGAUUUCUAACCAGAACUUCUGUACUUUAUAUACAGGUGGGAAGAGAUGCAAGAGGAUGGGGAAGGGAGGAGAUGUCGCUCAAGAUGCCUGAAACAGAAUGAGAUAAUUGAAUUGAAAGUAAUCAGGGAAACGAACAAUGAGGCAACAAAAAUGUUAAAUAGAAAGGAACCUUGGAGAUAGAUUUAAAUUCAGAAGUCAUCUCUGGAGGAUUAAAUAAAAAAGACACUGGGAAGACAAAGUAGCUAGACCUCCAACUGAGUAUAUAACAUACAAGGGGGUCCUUCCAUAGAACAUCAUAUCAGGAUCUGAGAGAGCAGGAGAAAAGCACGGAGUCUUCCAGUAACAUAACUUUGAACCACUGCUUAACAACAAAACUGCGUUGUCCACACAAGAGGAGCAGACACAAGUGAAAAGACUGAAAAGCAUCUGCUUGGGGAAAAUGUGCAGAAGGUCUCUGGUUCCCUACUCAAUUUUCCCAGUUAAGUGUAAGCAAAAGAAACAAGCACUGAGAGCUCCUGCUGCAGACGAAGUGCUGUUAUUCUGCUUCUACAGGCUGCUGCUCAAGCUGAGCUCUGCAGGGGAACAGGCUGCAUGGGCACUGAGAGAAAGAGCAAAAGAAAAUGCCAAGCAAAAUUAA
rnacentral:lncRNA from 1 species